GACGAACGCUGGCGGCGUGCUUAACACAUGCAAGUCGAACGGAAAGGCCCUGCUCUUGUGGGGUGCUCGAGUGGCGAACGGGUGAGUAACACGUGAGUAACCUGCCCUUGACUUUGGGAUAACUUCAGGAAACUGGGGCUAAUACCGGAUAGGAGCUCCUGCUGCAUGGUGGGGGUUGGAAAGUUUCGGCGGUUGGGGAUGGACUCGCGGCUUAUCAGCUUGUUGGUGGGGUAGUGGCUUACCAAGGCUUUGACGGGUAGCCGGCCUGAGAGGGUGACCGGCGACAUUGGGACUGAGAGAAGGCAGAGGCUCGUACGGGGGGCAGCAGUGGGAAAUAUUGCACAAGGAGCGGAAGCCUGAUGCAGAAGCGCCGCGUGCGGGAAGACGGUCUUCGGGUUGUAAACCGCUUUCGCCUGUGACGAAGCGUGAGUGACGGUAAUGGGUAAAGAAGCACCGGCUAAAUUCGUG
rnacentral:rRNA from 1 species